ensembl:lncRNA
AUGUGGAAAAGGAGACCUUGGGAAUCAGUGAUAAAACACAGAAAUGAACUGACCUCAGAUCAGGUGAGUGAUUUGGUAUUGUCAUGCACUCUCAAUAUGACCUUGACUUUCAUUUUGCAUGAGGUUGCAUGUUUAAGAGACAAAUAUGUAACAGGUUCUCUCACCGUUGCUGCAUAUAUGACUUGUAGGAGUAGGUUUGUUUAUAUCCUUUACGGGGAAGUAGCAUAUAUAAGCAUAUGAAUCCCUCAUGAAUAAUAACCAUAUAUUAUUU